AUGAACGCUGGCGGCGUGCCUAAUACAUGCAAGUCGAGCGAACAGACGAGGAGCUUGCUCCCCUGACGUUAGCGGCGGACGGGUGAGUUACACGUGGAUAACCUACCUAUAAGACUGGGAUAACCUCGGGAAACCGGAGCUAAUACCGGAUAAUAUAUUGAACCGCAUGGUUCAAUAGUGAAAGACGGUUUUGCUGUCACCUAUAGAUGGAUCCGCGCCGCAUUAGCUAGUUGGUAAGGUAACGGCUUACCAAGGCAACGAUGCGUAGCCGACCUGAGAGGGUGAUCGGCCACACUGGAACUGAGACACGGUCCAGACUCCUACGGGAGGCAGCAGUAGGGAAUCUUCCGCAAUGGGCGAAAGCCUGACGGAGCAACGCCGCGUGAGUGAUGAAGGUCUUCGGAUCGUAAAACUCUGUUAUUAGGGAAGAACAAAUGUGUAAGUAACUAUGCACGUCUUGACGGUACCUAAUCAGAAAGCCACGGCUAACUACGUG
rnacentral:rRNA from 1 species